GACAGAGGAGCCAAGCGUUGUCCGGAUCGACUGGGCGUAAAGCGUGCGCAGGCGGUUUGUUAAGUCUGCUGUGAAAUCCCCGAGCUCAACUUGGGAAUUGCAGUGGGUACUGGCAGGCUGGAGUAUGGUAGAGGAAGGUGGAAUUCCCGGUGUAGCAGUGAAAUGCGUAGAGAUCGGGAGGAACAUCCAUGGCGAAGGCAGCUACCUGGACCAACACUGACACUGAGGCACGAAAGCGUGGGGAGCAAACAGG
rnacentral:rRNA from 1 species